rnacentral:rRNA from 1 species
GAUGAACGCUGGCGGCGUGCCUAAUACAUGCAAGUCGAGCGAACGGACGCGAAGCUUGCUUCUCUGAUGUUAGCGGCGGACGGGUGAGUAACACGUGGAUAACCUACCUAUAAUACUGGGAUAACUUCGGGAAACCGGAGCUAAUACCGGAUAAUAUUUUGAACCGCAUGGUUCAAAAGUGAAAGACGGUCUUGCUGUCACUUAUAGAUGGAUCCGCGCUGCAUUAGCUAGUUGGUAAGUUAACGGCUUACCAAGGCAACGAUGCAUAGCCGAACUGUGAGGCGGAUAGGCCGCACUGGAAGUGAGCCGCGGACCAGAGGCCUGCGGGAGGCAGCAGACGGGAAUCGGACGCAAUGGGCGAAAGCCUGACAGAGCAACGCCGCGUGAGUGAUGAAGGUCUUCGGAUCGUAAAACUCUGUUAUGAGGGAAGAACAUAUGUGGAAGUAGAUGAGCACAGCGUGACGGUACCUAAUCAGAAAGCAACGGCUAACUACGUG